rnacentral:rRNA from 1 species
UACGAAGGGUGCAAGCGUUACUCGGAAUUACUGGGCGUAAAGCGUGCGUAGGCGGUUUGUUAAGUCUGUUGUGAAAGCCCCGGGCUCAACCUGGGAAUGGCAAUGGAAACUGGCGAGCUAGAGUACGGUAGAGGAGAGUGGAAUUCCCGGUGUAGCAGUGAAAUGCGUAGAGAUCGGGAGGAACACCGGUGGCGAAGGCGGGUCUCUGGGCAAUUCCUGACGCUGAGGCGCGAAAGCGUGGGGAGCAAACGGG